rnacentral:rRNA from 1 species
GACGAACGCUGGCGGCGUGCUUAACACAUGCAAGUCGAACGGAAAGGCCCUGCUUGCAGGGUACUCGAGUGGCGAACGGGUGAGUAACACGUGGGUGAUCUGCCCUGCACUUCGGGAUAAGCCUGGGAAACUGGGUCUAAUACCGGAUAGGAGCCAUUUUUAGUGUGAUGGUUGGAAAGUUUUUUCGGUGUAGGAUGAGCUCGCGGCCUAUCAGCUUGUUGGUGGGGUAAUGGCCUACCAAGGCGGCGACGGGUAGCCGGCCUGAGAGGGUGGACGGCCACAUUGGGACUGAGAUACGGCCCAGACUCCUACGGGAGGCAGCAGUGGGGAAUAUUGCACAAUGGGCCCAAGCCUGAUGCAGCGACGCCGCGUGGGGGAUGACGGCCUUCGGGUUGUAAACUCCUUUCGCUAGGGACGAAGCUUUUUGUGACGGUACCUAGAUAAGAAGCACCGGCUAACUACGUG